rnacentral:rRNA from 1 species
UGCGUAUGCGGAAUAUUAAGUCAGUGGUGAAAUCCUGCGGCUCAACCGUAGAACUGCCAUUGAUACUGAUAUUCUUGAAUGUAGUUGAGGUAGGCGGAAUGCGUAAUGUAGCGGUGAAAUGCUUAGAUAUUACACAGAACACCGAUUGCGAAGGCAGCUUACUAAACUAUGAUUGACGCUGAGGCACGAAAGCGUGGGGAGCGAACAGGAUUAGAUACCCUGGUAGUCC